rnacentral:rRNA from 1 species
UACAGAGGCCCCGAGCGUUAAUCGGAAUCACUGGGCUUAAAGGGUGCGUAGGCGGUUCAGCAAGCGCUUUGUGAAAUCCCACAGCUCAACUGUGGAACCGCAGGGCGAACUGCUGAACUUGAGGAAGCUAGAGGCUGGUAGAACGAUAGGUGGAGCGGUGGAAUGCGUAGAGAUCUAUCGGAAUGCCGAAAGUGAAGACAGCCAGCUGGGGCUUUCCUGACGCUAAAGCACGAAAGCGUGGGGAGCAAACCGG